rnacentral:rRNA from 1 species
GACGAACGCUGGCGGCGUGCUUAACACGUGCAAGUCGAACGGAAAGGCCCUGCUUUUGUGGGGUGCUCGAGUGGCGAACGGGUGAGUAACACGUGAGUAACCUGCCCUUGACUUUGGGAUAACUUCAGGAAACUGGGGCUAAUACCGGAUAGGAGCUCCUGCUGCAUGGUGGUGGUUGGAAAGUUUCGGCGGUUGGGGAUGGACUCGCGGCUUAUCAGCUUGUUGGUGGGGUAGUGGCUUACCAAGGCUUUGACGGGUAGCCGGCCUGAGAGGGUGACCGGCCACAUUGGGACUGAGAUACGGCCCAGACUCCUACGGGAGGCAGCAGUGGGGAAUAUUGCACAAUGGGCGGAAGCCUGAUGCAGCAACGCCGCGUGCGGGAUGACGGCCUUCGGGUUGUAAACCGCUUUCGCCUGUGACGAAGCGUGAGUGACGGUAAUGGGUAAAGAAGCACCGGCUAACUACGUG